AUACGUAGGUGGCGAGCGUUGUCCGGAAUUAUUGGGCGUAAAGGGCGCGUAGGCGGGAUAGUCAGUCUGUUGUAAAAGUUCGGGGCUCAACCCCGUGAAGCAAUGGAAACUGCUAUUCUUGAGUGCAGGAGAGGAAAGUGGAAUUCCCAGUGUAGCGGUGAAAUGCGUAGAUAUUCGGAGGAACACCAGUGGCGAAGGCGGCUUACUGGUCCAUUACUGACGCUGAGGUGCGAAAGCGUGGGGAGC
rnacentral:rRNA from 1 species